rnacentral:rRNA from 1 species
ACCUACGGGGCGCAGCAGUAGGGAAUCUUCCACAAUGAGCGAAAGCCUGAUGGAGCAACGCCGCGUGGGUGAAGAAGGUCUUCGGAUCGUAAAACCCUGUUGUUAGUGAAGAAAGUGCGUGAGAGUAACUGUUCACGUUUCGACGGUAUCUAACCAGAAAGCCACGGCUAACUACGUGCCAGCAGCCGCGGUAAUACGUAGGUGGCAAGCGUUAUCCGGAUUUAUUGGGCGUAAAGGGAACGCAGGCGGUCUUUUAAGUCUGAUGUGAAAGCCUUCGGCUUAACCGGAGUAGUGCAUUGGAAACU